rnacentral:rRNA from 1 species
AUUGAACGCUGGCGGCAGGCCUAACACAUGCAAGUCGAGCGGAUGAAGGGAGCUUGCUCCUGGAUUCAGCGGCGGACGGGUGAGUAAUGCCUAGGAAUCUGCCUGGUAGUGGGGGAUAACGUCCGGAAACGGGCGCUAAUACCGCAUACGUCCUGAGGGAGAAAGUGGGGGAUCUUCGGACCUCACGCUAUCAGAUGAGCCUAGGUCGGAUUAGCUAGUUGGUGGGGUAAAGGCCUACCAAGGCGACGAUCCGUAACUGGUCUGAGAGGAUGAUCAGUCACACUGGAACGGAGACACGGUCAAGACGCCUAAGGGAGGGAGCAGUGGGGAAUAUUGGACAAUGGGCGAAAGCAUGAUCCAGCCAGGCCGAGUGUGUGAAGAAGGUCUUCGGAGUGUAAAGCACUUUAAGUUGGGAGGAAGGGCAGUAAGUUAAGACCUUGCUGUUUUGACGGUACCAACAGAAUAAGCACCGGCUAACUUCGUG